rnacentral:rRNA from 1 species
CGGUAAUUCCAGCUCCAAUAGCGUAUACUAAAGUUGUUGCAGUUAAAAAGCUCGUAGUUGGAUUUCUGCGGGGACGGAGCGGCCGGUCGCAACUUGCGACUCGAGCUAGCGCUUUCCCCGCAUCCUGCCGCGAACCGCGCUACCAUUAGUUUGGUGGCGCUGGGGAUCGGCUCGAUUACUUUGAGAAAAAUAGAGUGUUCAAAGCAGGCCACGCGCCUUGAAUAAGUUAGCAUGGAAUAAUGACUAAGGACUUUGGUUCUUUUCGUUGGUGUUCGGGACUGAAGUAAUGAUUGAUAGGGACAGUUGGGGCGGUCCGUAUUCCAAAGCGAGAGGUGAAAUUCUUAGACCUUCGGAAGACGAACAGCUGCGAAAGCGUUCCGCAAGGAUGUUCCCUUUGAUCAAGAACGAAAGUUGGGGGAUCGAAGACGAUCAGAUACCGUCGUAGUCUCAACUAUAAACUAUACCAGCUAGGGAUCGGCCAACGUUUAAUUUAUCGACUUGGUCGGCACCUUAUGAGAAAUCGAAGCAUCUGGGUUCCGGGGGGAGUAUGGUCGCAAGGCUGAAACUUAAAGGAAUUGACGGAAGGGCACCACCAGCCGUGGAGCCUGUGGCUUAAUUUGACUCAACGCGGGAAAACUUACCAGGUCCAGACAUAGGAAGGAUUGACAGAUUGAUAGCUCUUUCUUGAUUCUGUGGGUGGUGGUGCAUGGCCGUUUUUAGUCGGUGGAUGUGAUCUGUCUGCUUAAUUGCGUUAACGGACGAGACCCCAGCCUGCUAAAUAGCGCGGCCGAGCUUUGCUCGGUGCGAGCUUCUUAGAGGGACCAUGAUGCGCGAUAGCACAAGGAAGUUUGGGGCAACAACAGGUCUGUGAUGCCCUUAGAUGUUCUGGGCCGCACACGGGCUACACUGGCGCCUGCAACGAGCAUAUCAGCUGGCCCGAGAGGGUCUUGGCUAAUCUUUGGAACCGGCGCCGUGCUUGGGAUUGACCAUUGCAAUUGUUGGUCAUGCAACGAGGAAUGCCUUGUAAACGCGAGUCAUCAGCUCGCAUUGAAUACGUCCCUGCCCUUUGUACACACCGCCCGUCGCUCCUACCGAUGAAUGUUCCGAUGAAAUUUUCGGAGAGCACCAGAGAACGGGGCUCCGCCUUGCAGAUCUGGAGGCUCAAAGUCACUUAAAUCUGAACAUUUCGAGGAAGGAGAAGUCGUAACAAGGUAGCCG